UCAGCCGUUGGAUAUCAUCCAACGGCCCAUAUAUCCACACUAAGAACGGGACUCUUACAGAGUCGCCUUGAGUACAUAUUAUAUUGUGUGUGUCUAAGUCGUAGAAUUCAUCGAUUUUCUUUCUGUAUCGCUCAAUCAAUCGGUCGAUCACUCGCGUCUGUGAUUUUCCGGAGUAGCUAAUUUUUGGUGGGCUGAUAGAGGGGGACAAAUCGUGAGAAACAAUUCGGAGAAAAGUUAAGUACCAUUACAACUUCAUUCGCAAAUUGAAAUGCUCGCAAUUUCACUCACUACUUGCAGAAAAGCUACUUUUCUGAGUGACUUGAUGUGGCGGUGAUGUCUAUCACUUGAACCUCUAUCCAAAAGAAACCAAUGGAUUGCGAGGGUUGGUUCUUCUUGAUUAUGUGAUUUACGCCUUUCAUAAGAGCAACGGCUACGCUUUUCAUGGUUCUGCAACCAGCAACUUCCUUCUCCUUGCACGCCGCUGCUUUUUUCUCAAGACUUACUGUCUAAGCAACUUCCUGAUGUAGAAAUAAAAACAAUUUACGGAAAAAGGCACAGAUCAACAACCUGAGGUUGUUCAUAAAAUUUAAGGAAGUUCGAGACCAACACAUUUUCUUGAAGGUGCAGAUGAUGAGAAACUCCAGAUAAAGAGUCUGUUUCCACGGAUAAUCCAAGCAUGAGAGGCUCCUUUGUUGAUUCCACCUGAGAGACAGAUUGCCCCUAUUAAAUGAAGAAGAUAUGUUAACUCUGGAAUACUGGCCUUCAAAGAAAUUGAGAAUGAAUCAGUAUAAAGCAGAGCCUAUUACCCAGGAACACGUUUUUUUCACGAGAAGGACUUGCUCAUUGCGUACCACUUGGGGAAACUAUCAAAUGGAUAUGGGCCGAGUUAGACCUACAUUAUCUAGAUUCUCAAUUCUCAUGACUAGGGGAAUUCCGGCAAGAAUAAGAAUAGAUGAUAGAAAAAAUCAGUCAACACAAAUAUAAUACAAAUGAAACUUGAAAUUAUCCAUGAAAUUCUUCCAUUUGGCAAGUAAAAGCCGAGUUAGUUUUUUGUUUUAUUCUCUCUGACAUGGGGAUGACUCUUCUUUUCUACCUGAUGCAAACAGCUAAGGAAUUAUCAUUGUUAUAAAAUAAAGUCUCUCAUUGAACGACCUU